rnacentral:misc_RNA from 1 species
AAAAUACGAAAAGUAAUAUGAAUUGCAGAAACGAAUCAUCGAAUCUUUGAACGCACAUUGCGCCCCUUGGUAUUCCAUGGGGCAUGCCUGUUCGAGCGUCAUUUGUACCCUCAAGCUCUGCUUGGUGUUGGGUGUUUGUCCCGUCUCCGCGCGUGGACUCGCCCCAAAGUGAUUGGCAGCCGGCGUACUGGUCCCGGAGCGCAGCACAUGUCGCGCAAACGAGUGCCUUGGUACGGCGGCGUCCAUAAGCCCCUCUCUCACGCUCUUGACCUCGGAUCAGGUAGGGAUACCCGCUGAACUUAAGC